AAGGUUUUAAGUUAACCAAACUAAUAGCCUUCAAAGCUAUAAAUAAAAUAUCAUUUUUUAAACCUUA
rnacentral:tRNA from 1 species